rnacentral:rRNA from 1 species
UUUUUAUGGCCGCGGUAUUUUGACCGUGCAAAGGUAGCAUAAUCAUUAGUCUAUUAAUUAUGGAAUAGUAUGAAUGAUUGGACGAAAUAUUGGCUGUCUCAUUUAUGUUUAUUGAAUUUGACAUUUGAGUUAAAAGGCUUAAAUUUUAUUAUAGGACGAGAAGACCCUAUAGAUCUUUAUUUAUUUUAUUUUUUAUUUUUUUUGGUUAAUUUUUAAUUAAUGAAUUUAUUUAUUUUGCUGGGGUGGUGUUGAGAUAUAAUUAACUCUUUAUUUUUUUUUUCAUUGAUUUUUGUUUAUUUGACCUUUUAUUAUUGUUUAUAANAAUUANAUACCUUAGGGAUAACAGCGUAAUUCUUUUUGAGAGUUCAUAUUGACAUUAGAGAUUGCGACCUCGAUGUUGAAUUAANAUUAUUAUUGGGUGUAGUUAUUUGAUU